rnacentral:rRNA from 1 species
UUGGGCGUAAAGGGCUCGUAGGUGGUUGACUGCGUCGAAGUGUAAUCUUGGGGCUUAACCCUGAGCGUGCUUUCGUACGGGUUGACUUGAGGAAGGUAGGGAGAAUGGAAUUCCUGGUGGAGCGGUGGAAUGCGCAGAUAUCAGGAGGAACACCAGUGGCGAAGGGCGGUUUUGGGCCUUUCCUGAACGCUGAGGAGCGAAAGCGUGGGGAGCGAACAGGCUUAGAUACCCUGGUAUCCACGCUGUAAACCGGUGGGUACUAGGUGUGGGGUCCAUUCCCACGGGUUCCGUGCCGUAGCUAACGCUUUAAGUACCCCGCCUGGGGAGUACGGCCGCAAGGCUAAAACUCAAAGGAAUUGACGGGGCCCCGCACAAGCGGCGGAGCAUGCGGAUUAAUUCGAUGCAACGCGUAGAACCUUACCUGGGUUUGACAUGGAUCGGGAGUGCUCAGAGAUGGGUGUGCCUCUUUUGGGGUCGGUUCACAGGUGGUGCAUGGCUGCAUGGCUGUCGUCAGCUCGUGUCGUGAAUGUUGGGUUAAGUCCCGCAACGAGCGCAACCCUUGUUCACUGUUGCCAGCACGUUAUGGUGGGGACUCAGUGGAGACCGCCGGGGUCAACUCGGAGGAAGGUGGGGAUGACGUCAAGUCAUCAUGCCCCUUAUGUCCAGGGCUUCACGCAUGCUACAAUGGCUGGUACAGAGAGUGGCCGAGCCUGUGAGGGUGAGCGAAUCUCGGAAAGCCGGUCUCAGUUCGAUUGGGUCUGCAACUCGACCUCAUGAAGUCGGAUCGUUAGUAAUCGCAAUCAGCAACGCUGCGGUGAAUACGUUCCCGGGCUUGUACACCCGCCCGUCAAUCAUGAAAGUUGGUAACACCCGAACCGGUGGCCUAACCGUUUGGGGGACCGUCGAAG